rnacentral:rRNA from 1 species
GGGGUACGGGCGGGGCUUGAGUGCGGUAGGGGAGACUGGAAUUCCCGGUGUAACGGUGGAAUGUGUAGAUAUCGGGAAGAACACCAAUGGCGAAGGCAGGUCUCUGGGCCGUCACUGACGCUGAGGAGCGAAAGCGUGGGGAGCGAACAGGAUUAGAUACCCUGGUAGUCCACGCCGUAAACGGUGGAUGCUGGAUGUGGGGACCAUUCCACGGUCUCCGUGUCGGAGCCAACGCGUUAAGCAUCCCGCCUGGGGAGUACGGCCGCAAGGCUAAAACUCAAAGAAAUUGACGGGGGCCCGCACAAGCGGCGGAGCAUGCGGAUUAAUUCGAUGCAACGCGAAGAACCUUACCUGGGCUUGACAUGUUCCCGACAGCCGUAGAGAUACGGUCUCCCUUCGGGGCGGGUUCACAGGUGGUGCAUGGUCGUCGUCAGCUCGUGUCGUGAGAUGUUGGGUUAAGUCCCGCAACGAGCGCAACCCUCGCCCUGUGUUGCCAGCACGUCGUGGUGGGAACUCACGGGGGACCGCCGGGGUCAACUCGGAGGAAGGUGGGGAUGACGUCAGAUCAUCAUGCCCCUUACGUCCAGGGCUUCACGCAUGCUACAAUGGCCGGUACAACGGGAUGCGACACCGCGAGGUGGAGCGGAUCCCUUAAAACCGGUCUCAGUUCGGAUUGGAGUCUGCAACCCGACUCCAUGAAGGCGGAGUCGCUAGUAAUCGCGGAUCA